rnacentral:rRNA from 1 species
UACGAAGGGGGCGAGCGUUGUUCGGAUUUACUGGGCGUAAAGGGCUCGUAGGCGGCCAACUAAGUCGGAUGUGAAAUCCCCAGGCUUAACCUGGGAACUGCAUCCGAUACUGGAUGGCUUGAAUCCGGGAGAGGGAUGCAGAAUUCCAGGUGUAGCGGUGAAAUGCGUAGAUAUCUGGAGGAAUACCGGUGGCGAAGGCGGCAUCCUGGACCGGCAUUGACGCUGAGGAGCGAAAGCUAGGGGAGCAAACGGG